rnacentral:rRNA from 1 species
UACGUAGGGACCGAGCGUUGUCCGGAAUCAUUGGGCGUAAAGAGCGUGUAGGCGGCUUUGCAAGUCCGUUGUGAAAACUCGAGGCUCAACCUCGAGACGCCGAUGGAAACCCCCUGGCUAGAGUCCGGAAGAGGAGAAUGGAAUUCCUGGUGUAGCGGUGAAAUGCGCAGAUAUCAGGAAGAACACCCGUGGCUAAGGCGGUUCUCUAGUACGGUACUGACGCUGAGACGCGAAAGCGUGGGGAGCGAACAGG